GACUCAGCUUGCUCUGGCUGCUGGAUUGAAUUAGCUGCAGGACCAAGAUGAGCCCU
rnacentral:pre_miRNA from 1 species